CCGCGCCGGGGGGGCGGCCGCGCCCGAAGGGGUCCGGCUGGGGGUCGGCGCUUGGGUGCGCGCUGGGCUCCGGCGGGCUUCUGACCGACUGCCGGUCCCCGGCCGCGCCAGCCGCGCUGCUUCCCCUGAAAACUUAGAGAUUCUGUUCAAAGGAGGCGGCGGUGAGCCCCUCCGCCUCAGCUGCUCGCCUCCCUCGCCUUCAGCCUCGACUGUCGUAACCUAACAACAAGUGGAGACUUCCUUUUCAUGUAAAAGCUGUAGGAUAUUUUUCCAGGUAAAGUUCCCAGUAUGCGACACAAAAAUUACUGCAACAUAGCAAACUACAGAGUCAUGAGCCAGCACGUUGCCAACUUUUAGCCCUAUGUGGAGAGGUAGUGGAGGGAAUCUGUUCCUGGCUGCUGUAAACGUGUGCCUGCAAACAGAGAAAACAAACAACACUGGGUAGUUUUCAUUUGUUCUAAAGUUCAUACAGUUCAGCAGCAUGCACUGUUUGUGAAGGAGAAAGCCUCACCGGGCUGGACUUAGCAGUAUGCAUUGCAGGUUGGGGUUGAAGGUACACUUCUGGGUUCCAAAAUUUCAGGACCACAGGGAGCCUGUUAUAGUCCUCUUCUGAACGUGGAGAGCACAGCAAGGAACGUAGGCUUGUUAACACCAUGUGAGAGAAA